GUAGCACCGUCUGAUAAACUCCCUGUUGUGAGCGCAUGCGAAAGGUCUGCAAAACCUUUAUUCGCGGGUUCGAAUCCCGCCCGCGCCUCCA
rnacentral:tRNA from 1 species